UUGGAUAUACAUUCAAUGGAAUAUUAGCCAUAUAAGGGGUGAAGUGUUGAUACAAUGCCACUUGGAUGAACCUCAAAAACAUUGCAAAGUGAAAGAAGCCAGACACCAGAGAUUACAUAAUUGAUUCCUUUUAUAGGAAAUACCUAGAAUAGGUAAAACCAGAGAGACAAAGCUGAUGAGAAGUUACCAGGGGAUGAGGAUGGAGGAAAUGGAGAGUGCUUUUAUGUGGUGAUGAAAAGUUUUGAAACUAGAGAUAGAUGGUAGUUGGACAACAUUGUAAAUACAUUAAAUACCAAGUCAAAUUAAAGUGGUUAAUUGUGUUAUGUGAGUUGGACCUCAAUUUAAAAAAGAAAUUUUCUUUACGGAAAGAGUUUACCAAGGCUUCCUUAGAAGUGUUAGAAAAGAUAUUCCCAGCAGAGGAGAAGGCUGAGGAGUAGAACAUCAGGUAGGUGAGCUUGGCAGCAGCUUUUGGCAGAAGUGUUAAUGGUUGGUUGCCUCAGAUAGUGUCACAGGAACCUGCACCUUGAGCAUCACAAACUGUAAAGUAGGGUUGAUGUAAACCUCUGGCUAGCUUCCCAAUCUAUCUGCCAGGUGUAACCCAAAAGGGUUUUGUACUCCUAGCCUAGAGGGGUCGGGGGCUGGGAAGGCAGACACUCAACACAAAUAAAAAGCAUAAAUCAACAAAGGGUAAACGUAGUCACCUAUUGCCUAGUGGUUAGCAGAGUAAAAAUCCUGGAUGCUCAAAACUGUUUUUGAAAAUCGAUUAAAACUUUCUUUGAAGUA